rnacentral:tRNA from 1 species
CACUAAGAAGCUAAUACGGGCCUAGCGUUAGCCUUUUAAGCUAAAGAAUGGUGCCUCCCAAACACCCUUAGUGA